UCCCUAUCCGCUGUGCGCGUAGGAGUGUUGAGAAGGGCUGUCCCUAGUACGAGAGGACCGGGACGGACGAACCUCUGGUGUGCCAGUUGUCCUGCCAAGGGCAUGGCUGGUUGGCUACGUUCGGGAGGGAUAACCGCUGAAAGCAUCUAAGCGGGAAGCCUGCUUCGAGAUGAGCACUCCCACCUCCUUGAGAGGGUAAGGCUCCCAGUAGACGACUGGGUUGAUAGGCCGGAUAUGGAAGCCCUGUGAGGGGUGGAGUUGACCGGUACUAAUAGGCCGAGGGCUUGUCCU
rnacentral:rRNA from 1 species